AAAUUGUUAGCAGAAUGCUGCUGAAAGUUAAAAAGAGUUUUAGUAUGGAAAAAUUAAUGUUAAUAAUCUCAACUAUGGAAGAUCUUCUCAUUUUAAUCCCAACUAUGAUUUAACCUGGAAUAAUUCCAACUACACCAACAACUUUCUUAAAAUAGUCUCACUCAUUUAUUAACCUGUUGUACCCGGUAAUUUGAUGGCGUCACUUAAUUCUUCUCGCCAUAGCUUCCCUUGUUUGAUGGGGAAAGAUUCCCCAACUGCAAUACCCCAUUUUAUUUGGUAAAUUAUCACGCCAUGUUCUACAUCCCUCUCUUUCUCUUUUUUUUCUUUUGAGUUUCACUCCCUCUCCAUUAAUUCUUAAUUAUGGGCUUCAACUUCUUCUUGUAUGCUGAAUUGGAUUUAAACUAACAAAUAUUAUUCAAUCAAUCAUGGAUAAUAUAACUCUAAUUAAAUAAGGAAAAGUUGUUAAGAUUGGUAAUUUGUCAUUUUCAAAGUUCCCACGAGAGAGUGCCUGAAGCACAUUUCAAAACACGUCUACCUUAUUGGGAAACUAAUGCAACAAAGGUAGGAAAUAAUUCAAUAUAUUCUUAUGAUUUUUAAUUAUUUCCAUGUCUAAUAUGUAUUUCUGAAAUGAGCAAGGAACCUCGAGAAUAACCUGGAACUCUUGAUUCAAUUGGUGCUUCACUUGAAUGACUACGGAAAAAGGAUCCUAGCUUGACUGCAGAAAUGAUUGCAGCAGUUUGGUGUCUACACUUUCUACAGACCACUCUCUUUAUUGGUCAUGGUUACAUAUAGACAGGUAUAUGAGUGGUUGUUUUACUACACUUCAACCCAAAUUGUUUCACUGAAGGCCUUCGUGGAGAUGGUAAUAGAAGGAGAAUGGUAGAUAAAAGGAUGGCUGGAAGGGCAUAUGUUGAAGUUCUUUUAGAUUGAUUUUGAACAAAUAAACUAAAUACUAGAUAGGUUUUAGAUUGCUUGAACUAUUAGUUCUUUUUAGAGAUUCAUUGGUUUUCUUAAUUGAUGUAUUUAUGUUAUAACAAUGGUUUUUGUUAUUAGAAUGAUUGAUAUGGAUAUUUUAUUUUAAUAAUAAGUAAAAUUUAAUUUGA